UCCUUAUCGAGAGUGGUGGAGGGACUGGCCCUUUGAAACCCGGCAACUUUAGCGAAAGCUAAAAAGUGCUAAAUCCAGCAUGUUUAAAACAUGAGAGAUAAGGC
rnacentral:ncRNA from 2 species